CCCGUUUCUAAGCCUCAUACAAAUAAAUUUCAUAUUUCAAGACACUAUUUACGUAUAUUGUCUAUAUAUAUUACACGGGCACACAUAUCAAUAUAGAAUGUGAGGCUUAUGUUUAAUACACGGCGCAAUAUAAUCCAUUGUUAUAAAGUAUUUCACAUAGAAUGUUAUUUCAAAACUUCUGUCAUAAAAGUAUGCACAAUAUAUAUACAGACUGAAAUCCUUAAAAGCUAAAAAGUUUUCAUAAAAUGGUUUUGUAAUCAGCACGACAUAGCACUAUUAUUUGCUACUGUUAUUCUAGCAGGCAAGCCAAGCCACACAGAUAUUAUAGCGUUGUGUUCGGAUAUACGUCUUACGGGUAUACAGGAACAUAUAUAUUAACUGUUAGAUAUAUACUGUUCCCAGGGGUAUACGCUACAGUUUUGAUCACAUAUUGAAAUUUUUCUGAUAAUUUGC
rnacentral:lncRNA from 1 species